UACGAAGGGGGCGAGCGUUGUUCGGAUUUACUGGGCGUAAAGGGCGCGUAGGCGGCGCGAGAAGUCGAGUGUGAAAGCCCCGGGCUCAACCUGGGAAUUGCGCUCGAGAGUCUAGUGCUUGAGUUCGGGAGAGGAGCGUGGAAUUCCCAGUGUAGAGGUGAAAUUCGUAGAUAUUGGGAAGAACACCGGUGGCGAAGGCGGCGCUCUGGACCGAGACUGACGCUGAGGCGCGAAAGCGUGGGGAGCAAACAGG
rnacentral:rRNA from 1 species